AUUAAACGCUGGCGGCAUGCCUUACACAUGCAAGUCGAACGGCAGCACGGGGGCAACCCUGGUGGCGAGUGGCGGACGGGUGAGUAACACAUCGGAACGUGCCCUGGAGUGGGGGAUAACGCAGCGAAAGCUACGCUAAUACCGCAUAUUCUGUGAGCAGGAAAGCAGGGGAUCGCAAGACCUUGCGCUGAUUGAGCGGCCGAUAUCAGAUUAGCUAGUUGGUGAGGUAAAGGCUCACCAAGGCGACGAUCUGUAGCGGGUCUGAGAGGAUGAUCCGCCACACUGGAACUGAGACACGGUCCAGACUCCUACGGGAGGCAGCAGUGGGGAAUAUUGGACAAUGGGGGCGAACCCUGAUCCAGCCAUGCCGCGUGUGUGAAGAAGGCCUCGGUG
rnacentral:rRNA from 1 species